UUUGUGGUUAYGGAUUAAUGAUAAAAAAACAUUUCUUAUUAUUUGAAUUUUCGCGGGCAACACAUUGCUGAGGAAAAAWUCAAGAUGGCUGCCGUGUCGUGUACUACCACGUGCACUAUUAAAUAUUUAAUUAAAGAAAUGCAAUAGUGAURCAAUCAUAAUCAAAAGAAUAAUAUUUUGUAUUUAGAAUAAUUCUUUUCAUAUUCUCUUCUCUUUUUAGUGAUUAGUGAUUGCCAAUUMUGGAUGAAAAUAGUUACAAAUGGGAUGUAUUGGUGUGUGUGGUACAAUAGUAUUACGUCAUAACCAAAGGAAAAUAAUUUUCUUUAUUAAAUCCGAGUAUAUAUAGAUGAAUUCAGGAUGUUCUCAUUAUAUCAAUUUAUUUUAACAAAUAUUAGUUACUACUAAGCAAAACAAUUUUACAUGCAAUCUCAUACAUCAAUUUUCCACGCAAACCAAUGACACCAUCCAAAAGGAGAGACUCCACACGAUCAUGAGGGUUUUUUAAACCAUCACUUCAACUUUCCACGCAAUCCAAUGACUCCAUCCAUAAUCAAAUAUCCCAUACAGUCAUGAGGGUUUUUUUUAACCAUCACUUCAAUUCUGCACGCAAUUCCAAUUUAAUGCAUUCUGUGUUCUUAUGAUACUUGCACUACGAGAAAAUAAUAUAUGUAUAUAGUGUAAUAUUUUAUCAAAAGAAUACGAGAAGAAAUGUAUAUYUUAGUUAUCAUCACAAGAUAUAUGGAUAACACACGUGGCAAAUACAUUAUUAUAUUUCCGACAUUCAA